rnacentral:tRNA from 1 species
GCGCCGCUAGCUCAGUUGGUAGAGCAGCUGACUCUUAAUCAGCGAGUCGGGGGAUCGAGACCCUCGCGGCGUAC